UACUUUAUGUCUGUGAAACGUCUAGCAUCACUUCCUUAACGCUCAGUGAAGAGGGCAAGCAAACACCUGGGAUACGUACUGAAGUACGACAUUUGAGCAGACGACGGAUGAAUGAGAGUGAACUCGCAGUGAGGGGCUCUGAGGACGGAGGGUUUUGAACCUGCAGCAUGGCGCCGACUAAAACUCUCCGGACUUCUCAAAGUACCACGCAAUCACCCCAGGACCACAUUUAUGAAGACCCAGAUGCAUUAUUGGAUUCUGGUGGAGUCAAAGUAGAUGUCAAACCAGCACCUCAACCCAGAAGAAAAAAAGUUCAGUUCAGCGACAUCGUCGACGCCCCCAACCAGAUCAAUGCGACCAACCCGGUUUAUGUAGACCAAGGAGUUAACCUGAUCAAAACAGAGGCGCCUCAGCCUCACCGUCCUGCUCUCAAACCAACGUUAGCCGGCAUAAGAACCCCAACCGACAAUGACCAGUCAAGACUAACAACACCUGGUUCACCUGCUGAGCCCCAACCUCUGAGUUCAGACAUAAAACCUCCUGUUCCUGCAAAACGAAAAAAUGCUCCGUCUUCUUAUGACACUCCAGAGCCCCAACCUGUGAAUUACAACAAAAUACCCAUGGCUCCCCCAAAACAGCGAAGUCCUUCCUCCUCUUCUUCUUCCUCGUCUUCCGCUCAGAGUCAUGAAACACCAUCAUCAGCAAAGAGUCAACCUUCAGAGUCCCAACCCUUGAGUUCUGAACCAAAACCUCCUAUUCCUCAAAAAAGGCAAAAUCGUCCUUCUUCUUCUUCUUCCUCCACACCAUGUUUGGUCAUAAAUCAAACAGCAGAGAGUUACUCUGCGUUACCUCAGCAACACAAACGGUUAUCAGUCAGCUCCAACGGAGCCUUGGAAGAGAGACCCGUCUCACCUGCACUUUCUGGAAACUCCCAGGAUUCCAAUGGGGCAGACCAAACUAAGCCCAAACCUCCCCUUCCUCAAAAACGACGAAAUCUUUCAUCUUCUCCUUCAGCUUAUCAAACACCAACGCCUCUGGUUUCUGGCAGACUAACUCCUGUCCCUCGAAUUCGACAACUCUCUUCUUCCUCCUCUAAUCUUUAUGAUGAAAGACCAUCCACAGCCCAGAGUCACAGUUCUGAGCCGCAGCCUAUGAUUCCUGACAGACUAGCUCCUGUUCCUAGAAAUCGACAACUCUCAUCCUCUUCCUCCAGUCUUUGUUAUGACAUUCCAUCCACAGGCCAGAAUCACUCUUCAGAAGCACCAUUAUUUGUCCUGCCAUCUUCACCUCAGCCUGGUUCAGAAUACUACAACGAGAGUCGCCCUCCAUACAUCAGAGUUAUACAUGAUAACCAGAACGACAAGACAUUGAGGAGACCCGAACUUCAUCCACAACUGCAAUCAACCUCUGAAGUGGACAACCGCGACUCCAUAUAUGCACUGAACACAGAGGACAUCACUGAGCUCCUGAAAUGGCUCAAAAGGGUAUCCAGUCAAUCAGAUAAUGUUAUCUCACCAAUAUAUGGCCUCGGAUUGGAGGAGGAAAUCAGAUCAUUUGAACAGAAAGCCAUAGACUUGAGAAAGGCACGGCGUCUCUACACCUCCUCAUGAUGAAACGUAAAGAGAGCCUGGAGAAUGGCAUCAAAAACUUCCAGGCCAUCUGUGUCCAACUGGAAAAGGUGAAGAAGACGAACAAGGCCAUGGGGAUUGCUGGAGGCACUACAGGUGCUCUGGGGGGUGUGGCUGCGGUGGUAGGCAUUGCCUUGGCUCCAGUUACCAUGGGAACGUCACUGAUUGUUACGGCUGUUGGGGCUGGUGUUGCAGCAUCAGCUGGAGGCUUUGGCGCUCAUGCGUUAAAAACCAACAAGAAGAUCGUAAAUCGAUCCACUCUGGAGGAACUCGUAAACAACUACAAAUCAAAUGUUGUUGACCUGGAACGCUGCCUCGCUUUCAUCUUCUCAGCGAUGAAAGAGCUCCAAAGAUACAACAUUUCACGGCUUCAAAUGGCUCACCCAGACGCUGUGAGGAUGGCAGAACUGUCGCAGCUCGUUUUCAAAAAUAGCAUGAACACUGAUGGAGGGAUUUCUCUCCUUCAACUUGGUGGGAUGACGUCUGAAAACCUUCUGAAGGCUUUUUCUACUGAGAUUGAUCUUUAUUUUACAGAAAAGAAAGGCCAAAAGCUAAAAAAGUCAGACAAAAGCAAGUUUUCAGCUACAGUUACCAACCUGAUCAAAAACCUGCAAGCUGAACUUGACCACCUAAUUCAAAUGUGGGAAUCAUUGUGCUGAAUCAAACAGUCCCAGGGGAUUGUUAUUUCAUAUUUGAAAGUAGGUCUAACAGUAAGAUGCUUUUUAAUUAAAGUAUCUUCAAGUUUCCUACAAUUAAGGAAUUGGGUCUUGCCCAAUGAUAAAAAAAAACAAUGAAAAAGUAACUGAGACUUUGAUUUGAACCCCUGACAACUGAACUACAUGUAGUUCAGUCAUGCGCUUCCCAGUACAACCAGAGGCUUACCAACAAUCUACAACCACUGAAUAACUUCACUUCAGCAACUCGGGCCUUGUGGAGGCACUACAGUUGAACAAGCAUUGCUAGUUCUGAACCAGUGGCCCUGCCGCCAGACCUUCAGUAUAUUGUGAAUUUUGUUUUAUGUUCAUGUUCUUUAUUUAUUUUUUGUAAAUCAAUGUUUAAAUGAUCAAAUAUCAUCCCUUUUGAUCUUUUGAUGCUGUUGUAUUGUAUGUAAAAUUAUGACAUUCAAAGGUUCUGUGACAAGAGAAACUUUGUUUGAGUCUGAAUCCCUUCACUACUAGUGCAUUAUAGUGUGUUUGCCAUUUUGUAGUGCUGUCUGAACUUCCAAUUCCAAAAUCCAGUGUCCUAGAAAUUUCCCACAAGUUACUACAAAAAGCCAGCGUGCAUCAAUGCUCACUAUAUUGGCAAAUAUAGACCAGAAUGCUUUGCAUUUGAACAAUUUUUGUAAACAAAAAAAAU
rnacentral:lncRNA from 1 species